GGUGCGGNAUUUCUGGUGUAGCGGUGAAAUGCGUAGAUAUCAGAAAGAACACCNAUGGCGAAGGCAGCCACCUGGGCCAAUACUGACGCUGAGGUACGAAAGCGUGGGGAGCAAACAGGAUUAGAUACCCUGGUAGUCCACGCCCUAAACGAUGUCUACUUGUCGUCGGGAGGGNNNNNCUUUCGGUGACGGACGUAACGCAUUAAGUAGACCGCCUGGGGAGUACGGCCGCAAG
rnacentral:rRNA from 1 species